rnacentral:rRNA from 1 species
UGCCAGCAGCCGCGGUAAGACGGAGGGUGCAAGCGUUGUUCGGAAUCACUGGGCGUAAAGCGCGUGUAGGCGGCCCGAUUAGUCGAGUGUGAAAGCCCGGGGCUCAACCUCGGAAGCGCAUUCGAAACUGUCGGGCUUGAGUACGGGAGAGGGAAGUGGAAUUCCUGGUGUAGAGGUGAAAUUCGUAGAUAUCAGGAGGAACACCGGUGGCGAAGGCGGCUUCCUGGACCGAUACUGACGCUGAGACGCGAAAGCGUGGGGAGCAAACAGGAUUAGAUACCCUGGUAGUCCACGCCGUAAACUGUGAGCGCUAGGUGUAGCGGGUAUUGACCCCUGCUGUGCCGCAGCUAACGCAUUAAGCGCUCCGCCUGGGGAGUACGGCCGCAAGGUUAAAACUCAAAGAAAUUGACGG